rnacentral:sRNA from 1 species
AUUUAAAAUCAUAAAGCACAUCAAGGCAGACUAGACUUUCACCCUACGAUACCAAACUUCUACUAGUGAUAUGCUGUAAUCUUGUCUAAGGUAUUUUUUUUUUAGAUCGCUGGGUUUUCUGAAGAACUAAUACUUGCCUUUUCCGUUGAUGAUUUAGCGUCCAUUGCGUCCACUUGCUUACAGAAGAUCAACAGAUUUGAAACAAGUCAUGUUUAGCUCAUAUUCAAUGGCAGUGUUUGUUAUGGUGUUAGACUUGAAUGCAUGAUAUGCUUAACAUAGUAAGAAUAAUACAAACGCUGAACACGGGAGGUAUUAAAGUUAGUUUACAUCGAGGUAGAGAAAGGUGAUUGAAUAUGUGGGUCCUCAUACAGGUAGCAUACCUGUACUGUAUCUAUUCAAUGACACGUCCAUCUAAGAUUGCAGAUUCGUAUCCCUUGCCCUAAAGCCUUGUCCAUUCUCGGUAGAGCGAAACAAAACAAUGUUAUUUUACGGAUAACUUAUUUCAGCCGCUGAGAUAAAAUUAGUUCGAAAUGGAUAUAAAACCGGAGAUAAAGAACGAUGAGACCCCGUCUCUCGCACCUGAACUAUUGACAUUUUCGUUUUAUGUUCGUUUAAUUGCAACAGAAUAGGUUCAAAAAGUUGAAUACCUUCAGAAAUUGGUUACAUGGCAUUCCAGAUAUGCUGGACUUUCAUGGGCGUAUAAGGAUGUCCAUGGAAUAUGAAGGGGAAAACAUCAAAUGUAUGUAAAUUUGAUUAACUUAUAAUCACAAUCACAUAAUGUUAAAUAAUACACGUUUUCU